UACGUAGGCACCAAGCGUUGUCCGGAUUUAUUGGGCGUAAAGAGCUCGUAGGCGGUUCAGUAAGUCAGGUGUGAAAUCUUUGGGCUUAACCCAAAGCGUGCACUUGAUACUGCUGUGACUUGAGUUCGGUAGGGGAGUGGGGAAUUCCUAGUGUAGCGGUGAAAUGCGCAGAUAUUAGGAGGAACACCGGUGGCGAAGGCGCCACUCUGGGCCGAAACUGACGCUGAGGAGCGAAAGCGUGGGUAGCAAACAGG
rnacentral:rRNA from 1 species